rnacentral:rRNA from 1 species
GGCAUCGCUGGGUAGCUAUGUUCGGAAAGGAUAAGCGCUGAAAGCAUAUAAGCGCGAAACCAAUUCCAAGAUGAGAUUUCCCUACCACAAGGUAAUAAGGCUCGUCGGAGACGACGACGUUGAUAGGCCACAAGUGUAAGAAUGGUAACAUUUUCAGCUGAGUGGUACUAAUUAGCCGAAUGGCUUUACCAA